rnacentral:rRNA from 1 species
AUUGAACGCUGGCGGCAUGCCUUACACAUGCAUGUCGAACGGUAACGGGCCUUCGGGUGCCGACGAGUGGCGAACGGGUGAGUAAUACAUCGGAACGUGCCCGAUCGUGGGGGAUAACGAGGCGAAAGCUUUGCUAAUACCGCAUACGAUCUACGGAUGAAAGCAGGGGACCGCAAGGCCUUGCGCGGACGGAGCGGCCGAUGGCAGAUUAGGUAGUUGGUGGGAUAAAAGCUUACCAAGCCGACGAUCUGUAGCUGGUCUGAGAGGAUGAUCAGCCACACUGGGACUGAGACACGGCCCAGACUCCUACGGGAGGCAGCAGUGGGGAAUUUUGGACAAUGGGCGCAAGCCUGAUCCAGCCAUGCCGCGUGCAGGAUGAAGGCCUUCGGGUUGUAAACUGCUUUUGUACGGAACGAAAAGCCUUCUUUUAAUACAGGAGGGUCAUGACGGUACCGUAAGAAUAAGCACCGGCUAACUACGUG